GCGAUCGUGCCACCGCAGCGAGACCCUGUCUCCAAAAAAAGAGACAGAAAAAGGGGAGGGUUAAGGAAUCAUUUCAGACUCGAAGAGAAUAUGGCCUCUCAAAUUAAAAUGGGCAGUUUCCGCCGAACUUUCAAAGCCGCUUGGUUUGGAGAGGGAGCAGGACGGCCGUGCUUCCCAAGGGUCUCCCGGCGUCGCGGCCCAGCCCGGCGUUACCUGCAGUUCGGCCCGCAGCCGCUUGUUCUCCGUGUCCAGCUUGGCCUCGCGGCGGCCCAUGGACAACAACUCCUGGUUCUUGCUGACGCGAAAGAUCUCGUACUCCUUCUUGAGCCGCUCGUACUCGGCCGCCGCGUACUCCAGCUCUGGCACCGACGAGCCAGUGGACUUGAAGCUGGCCCCCAGCAGCCCGCCGGCGCCCACCCCGCGGGGCAGCGACCCGGGCCCGGCCCCUGCCGCCGCCCCCGCGCCUCGGCGGAACGAGUUGCGCAGCAGGCGGGCCUUGGGCUUCACCUCCACCGGGAUCUCGCAGGCCUCGCCGCCGCCCGCCCCGUACGUGUCCUCGAUCACUUCCCCGCCCGCGGGGCUCACGAGCGACGAGGCGGUCCCCAUGGCGUCCGUUGCCGCUACUACCUAGCUGUUUAGUCCUGCUCAGUUCUACCAAGUGAACUCUGACUUCUAAAGUCUCCUACUACAAAGUCUGAAUUGGUGAAGAAGAGGAGUUUAGUGCCAAGGUGGGUGCAAGGGUGAAACAAAGGCAACACAUCCACAUGCACUGGACAGGGAAAUGGGGUUACUUAAAGGUUGUUUCAAAAUAUGGACUUAGGAAGGAAAAAGAAACAAGAUUAAAAAGGAACAAGUAGCUAGGAGAGAAAAAUAUGAAGAAGGUUAUGGAUAUGAAGAUGCAUUUUUGGUGAAUAAAUUAAGCCCAGUAGGUGACCUGCACAAGACGCAUAAUGUGACCUGCCCAAGACGCAUAAUGUGACCCGAACUAAGAUGGAGCUCAAUGUAGAAAAAUGUCACACACAAUUUUCAUCUCUACAAAGUAUCUUUGAUAUUGACACAUUCAUUUUUCUUUGCUUAUUUGCUUAUUUUCUUUGCUUAUUUGACUUUGCUUUCUUUGCUUAUUUGACACUUUAUUUUUUAAAAUUUUAAAUAUACAAAUUAAAUAGAAUCAUUACAAGUAUAAAGUAGAUAGAAUAAUGAAUCUCCAUGUACAUAUCACCCAAGUUUAAAAUUGUUCAACAUUCAAACGGUUAUUUCAACCAGUUAUUUUUUUCGUCUAUUCUAAUACCCAUUCUCCAACCCUCCAUUUAUUAUUCUUUAACAAAAUUUUCAAGGUAGAAUUUAUAAUCAUGGAAAAUACAAAUCUUAACCGUACAAUAUUGGCAAAUGGAUCUACUUAUGUAACUGUACUGUUACAGACUAAAUGGUGUCCCUCCAUAAUUCAUAUACUGAAUUCUUAAAUCCCAGUGUGACUAUAUUUGGAGACAGGGUCUAUAAGGAGGUAAUAAUGGUUAAGUGAAGUCAUAGGAUGGGGCCUUAAUCUGAUAGGGCUCAUGUUCUUAUCAGGAGAGGAAGAGAUGCCGGAGAUCUCUCUUUCUGUGCAUGCACAAAGAAGAGAUCAUGUCAGCAUAUGGUGUGACGGCAGUGCCUACACGCCAAGGUAAGAGGCCUCAGAUUGAUACCUGUCAUGGCUGUACCUUGAUCUUGGACUUUCCAGCCUCCAAAACUGUGAGAAAUAAUCCACCCAGUAUUUUGCUAUUUUGUAAAGCAGCCUGAGCUGACUAAUAUAUGCACACUAGCAUGAUAGGAAGCAUAGCAAUCUACCCAGGAAAUUCUCUUGUGUCUCUUUCCAGUCAAUUUCUAAUGCUCUUCUUCCCACCCUUGAGGCAGCCACUGUUCGUUUUCCCCCCUUAUAUUAGUUUUGCCUAUUUUAGAAAUUCAUAUAGAUGAAAUAAUUCAGUAUGUUGUCUUUUUUGUUUCUUUCAUUCAAUAUUCUGUCUGUAAGACUUACCUGUGCUAUGACUCCUUUUCGUUGUUCCAUAGUAUUCCAUCGUGUGAGUAUAAUUGAUCUAUUCUCAUGUUGUAGACAUUUGAGUUGAUUCCAGCUUUUGUGACUAUAACUGCUAUGAACAUUCUUGUACAAGUCUUUCUGUGGGCAUGAGUUAUGACUUCUCUUGGAUAAAUGCCUAGAAGUGAAAUUGCUGGGUCAAAGACUACAAAUAUGUUUCACCCAUUCUAGUGAAUGUGUAGUGGUAUCUCAUUGGAAUUAUAGCUUACAUUUCCCUGAUGACUAAUAAUGUGGAACACUUUUUUAAUGUGCUUAUUGGUCAUUUGUAUAUUUUUUUCUGUGAAGUGUCUGCUGUGCCUUUACUUAUUUGGAAUUGCUUACUAAGUUGUAAUUCAUUAUAUGUUCUGCAUGUAGACAUAUAAUUUGUGAUAUUUUCUGUAUGUCUGUGGCUUGCCUAUUCCUAAGAAGAGGAAAAUAGCAGAAGAUAGCAUUUAGAAGAAUACACAAGCCACAGACAUACAGAAAAAUAUAUGCUAUCUUUUGAUGAACACAAAUUUUAAAUUUUAAUGAAAUCUAAUUCAUCAAAUUUUUUUCCUACGGUUAUCACUGACUGCAUUCUGCCUAAGAAAUCUUUGCCUACCUCAUGUUAUGAAAACACUAUUCUUGAUUUUCUUUGAAAGGCUUUAUGGUUUUAGUUUUUACGUUUAGGCCUAUGAUCUAUGUUAAUAUUAACAUACUUGAAAUCACAUUGUGUAUAUAGCUUUGUAAUAUUCUCCCACCUCCAACACUAUUUCAUCAAUCUUUUCACAUGUCAUUGAAGAUACUUCAUAAAUAAUAUUAGGAGUUGUGUGACUUUCUAUGCUAUAGAUGUGCUGUAAUUUAUUUAAUGGUUCCUUUAUUUUUGGACAUUUAGAUUAUUCUCCCUCUGCUUUUAUACUUGUAAUAAAAAUCUGUUUUUGCAUA
rnacentral:antisense_RNA from 1 species